rnacentral:rRNA from 1 species
AUUGAACGCUGGCGGCAGGCCUAACACAUGCAAGUCGAACGGUAACAGGUCCCGGACUUGAUCCGGGAUGCUGACGAGUGGCGAACGGGUGAGUAAUACAUCGGAACGUGCCCGAUCGUGGGGGAUAACGAAGCGAAAGCUUUGCUAAUACCGCAUACGAUCUACGGAUGAAAGCAGGGGACCGCAAGGCCUUGCGCGAACGGAGCGGCCGAUGGCAGAUUAGGUAGUUGGUGGGAUAAAAGCUUACCAAGCCGACGAUCUGUAGCGGGUCUGAGAGGACGACCAGCCACACUGGGACUGAGACACGGCCCAGACUCCUACGGGAGGCAGCAGUGGGGAAUUGUGGACAAUGGGCGAAAGCCUGAUCCAGCCAUGCCGCGUGCAGGAUGAAGGCCUUCGGGUUGUAAACUGCUUUUGUACGGAACGAAAAGACUCUGGUUAAUACCUGAGGUCCAUGACGGUACCGUAAGAAUAAGCACCGGCUAACUACGUGCCAGCAGCCGCCGUAACAC